ensembl:lncRNA
CAAGUUUGUCAUAUUAUGACUCCGACAGCAUCUAAGAUUCUAUUUGGGACUCUGUCUAUUUACUUACUGUAAAUUCAUUGCAAAUGUAUAGAUCGGGGCCUCUCUCCAAACCUACCCACAUUUUUAGCCUGCUAUGUCCCCAACACACAGCCUUUCAUACACACAUGCAUAUGCCCCUGAAAACCCCCGGCCCUGCCCUUGUCUGCUAGCUGCCUCGCAUACACUGGCUCCAUUCUUCCACGCCACAGACGGAGAUGGCUGGUGUGUCGGUGUGUGCAUUGGUGUGUGUGUGUGUGUUAGAGAGUAAUGGUGCAUACAGUGCAUUGAGUGUUCUGGAAAACCAGUGUAUAUGUGUGCUUGUAUGAAAUCUGUGGAUUAACCUCCUAGGACCUGGCGUCCACAUGUGGACAUCACAUUUUGGGUUAUUUAGGCCAAAAUACUCAAUUUUGCUCUACAAGGGCCUGAUAUCUACUUACAAGGACAUUAUACUGAUAGUUUUCUAUCAAAAUUUUAAACGAAUAUCCUCAUAUGUGGCUCUCAUUUUUCUUAGAAACAAAAAUUAGGUAAAAAAAAAAAAAAAAUCUGGUAAUUUUUUGUUUUUACAUUCAUCAGGACCCAAUCAGCCCAAAUAUCAAAGAUAAAUUAAAAAUGCAUGCAAGCAUAUGUGGAAAGGGGAAAAACUGCAGAUGGGUAUAAUUCAACUGGGAGGCUAAUGUGUGUAGGACUGUUUGCAUGUGACAAACGGAUACAUCAUGUCAAAAUGAGUGCAAGUAUUCAGGCAGCUGACCCUCUAUGACCCGCUAUCCCUCUAGCCUACUCCCCCUCACAAACCCAUCCACCCCAAACAGAUCCAAACUUCACUGUGCUGAGACCAGACUACAUGGGCUCUCACGGGAGCUGGACUGUCAUCUCCUGGCAUCAGCUGUAGGAAUGCAUCAUGGCCAUAAAGAGUGCCCUUGACUGCCUUGUCUAUGAUCAUCAUUUGUGAUAAGAGCGUGGUUUCCAGCUGCAACUCAGAGACUGAAGAGCAGUUUACAGCUAUAGAGUCCACAGUGUUCAACUCUGAAGACGAC